AGGGGAUCUACAAGGUUGGACUUGAAGGGCACUUACCUAUAGGUUCACAUGGUGCCUCAUGAAGUUUCUGAAGUCGGUCAUGGUGCACUGAAAAGCAAAGGGUAUCUGCUGUCGCAUACCUAGACGACUUACCUCUUGCAAAUCCAAUUCAUGACGAGAUUUAUUUUUACAGUUUUGGGAAUUGUUGGGAUUCAUAGUGAACAGAGAGGAGUCGGUUCGAUCCCAGUUCCGAGUGAUUCUGUUCCUCUACUUCAGAAUAGAUUCCACCUCGAGCGGAUUACACCUUCCCACAUCAUUGAUAGCGACGAUUCGUAAGGAAAUUCGACGGGUACGGCGGAAAGGCACCAUAAUCCUUUGACUAUUUCCCAGGACUGCUUCACUACCGGGCCAGACAGUGGCUGAAAGCUCACUGCCUGAGAUCCAGACACACCUAUGAAAUUGGGAUCAGAAUAGCAAAGACUUCGAUAGUACUCAUUACUGCGGUAAAGGAGUCAAGCGUGACACCCAGAAGGGUUGUCCUUAAUCAGGAUCAUCCUCUGCUCAUUCCAUUUUAACUUGCCAUUCGGGCGGUUCCAAAAGGAGAACAUCAUCCAUUGAUAAUGCAGGAGCAUCUGGAGUUGGUAGAUUGGUGUCUUUCAGGGGAGACUGGUAUGUCAAGGGACUAUCGCAACUAACUAGAGACCUACUAUGGGACUCAUGGACACCAGGUAUUCACCAAAAUAACUUAUCCGCAUGGAACACCUGGAGUUCGCUGGUGUAUGGGAAGGGACUGCGAUCCCUUUAUUACCCCUAUCUCCACGAUGCUGGAUCUUUAUCAUACCUUUUCAC
rnacentral:lncRNA from 1 species